UAUGCCGUUCAGAACAAAGAUGGCGGACUUCCGAGUCGCAAGCGUUAACACCGUAUUCUACAAAACAUACAAAACAUCUUCAAAGCAGCAAAACCUGGUGGAAAUAGAAAAGGACUUCUCAGAGCAGAGGAAGAAAUCCUGGGCUAAGAAUUAAACACAGCAAAAUGAAUUUCUGCUGUUCACUUGACGCCUGGGGUGGCGCAGCUGCACAGCAGCACUUGGUGCGUCAAGUCACGGUUUGGAUUCACUUCCAGAGAGCGCUUCAGGGAAACUCAGGGAGAACGAGUUUAUUUGAGAGAAUGAGACUUUAAAGAGGAAGGAAGGAUGUAAACUCAUCACUGAUUCUGACUGAAGUGAGCCUCCUACUCCAGCUCUGUGAGGAUUCACCGCAGAAAAGGAGAUUUUAUUUUUAAGGAGCACAUUUUCAGCGACAGGGAAAUUCAUCGCUCUUUACAUGGUUAAAGGGGAAAUUAAACAAGAAAUAUGGGAAAACUUUACAUUGCAGUGGCAAAGCAAAGGAAAGAGAUGAAAAGCAGUUCACAGUUUAUGAUGUUCCAGUUGUUAAUAGAAAGCAACUCUAAAUAAAUGGGAUUUUUAGCCUUGGUUUAAAGCAGGGGUCUGC